rnacentral:misc_RNA from 1 species
GCCAUAACCUAUGGAAACAGGGAAGGGGAAGAAGGAGAAGAAGAAGAAGAAAAAGAAGGACAAAGAUGCUGAAGAAGUGUAAACCUUUAUUGAAGAGCUUUUUUAUUUAAUGGGUAUUCCUAAAUGAGUGCUUGUUCACGUUAUGGCACCUGCAAUGGUAAUUUGGUAGUUUCUGUAAUCUUUUUAAUGCAGUUUCAGGACAAUCAUUUUCCAUAACUUUGUUCUUCAAGAUAGAUUUUUUUUUUUGGCAACAUUUUUGUAUUAUUCUUGUCAUAUGUCUAUUGAAUUGUUGUUUUCGUGAGCA